AUGACCUUUUAAAUCCACAGCAUUCCCAAGGUAGGUAAUUUUCAGGUAGGAAUUCCAACUUUCAUGUAAAGUACUUGAAGUAAUGACCUUUUAAAUCCACAGCAUUCCCAAGGUAAGUAAUUUUCAGGUAGGAAUUCCAACUUUCAUGUAAAGUAUUUGAAGUAAUGACCUUUUAAAUCCACAGCAUUCCCAAGGUAGGUAAUUUUCAGGUAGGAAUUCCAACUUUCAUGUAAAGUAUUUGAAGUAAUGACCUUUUAAAUCCACAGCAUUCCCAAGGUAGGUAAUUUUCAGGUAGGAAUUCCAACUUUCAUGUAAAGUACUUGAAGUAAUGACCUUUUAAAUCCAUAGCAUUCCCAAGGUAGAUAAUUUGCAGGUAGGAAUUAGAACUUUCAUGUAAAGUAUUUGAAGUAAUGACCUUUUAAAUCCACAGCAUUCCCAAGGUAGGUUAUUUGCAGGUAGGAAUUGCAAUUUUCGUGUAAAGUAUUUGAAGUAAUGACCUUUUAAAUCCACAGCAUUCCCAAGGUAGGUAAUUUGCAGGUAGGAAUUCCAACUUUCAUGUAAAGUAUUUGAAGUAAUGACCUUUUAAAUCCACAGCAUUCCCAAGGUAGGUAAUUUGCAGGUAGGAAUUCCAACUUUCAUGUAAAGUAUUUGAAGUAAUGACCUUUUAAAUCCACAGCAUUCCCAAGGUAAGUAAUUUGCAGGUAGGAAUUCCAACUUUCAUGUAAAGUAUUUGAAGUAAUGACCUUUUAAAUCCACAGCAUUCCCAAGGUAGGUCAUUUGCAGGUAGGAAUUAGAACUUUCAUGUAAAGUAUUUGAAGUAAUGACCUUUUAAAUCCACAGCAUUCCCAAGGUAGGUAAUUUGCAGGUAGGAAUUACAACUUUCAUGUAAAGUAUUUGAAGUAAUGACCUUUUAAAUACACAGCAUUCCCAAGGUAAGUAAUUUGCAGGUAGGAAUUACAACUUUCAUGUAAAGUAUUUGAAGUAAUGACCUUUUAAAUCCAUAGCAUUCCCAAGGUAAGUAAUUUGCAGGUAGGAAUUACAACUUUCAUGUAAAGUAUUUGAAGUAAUGACCUUUUAAAUCCACAGCAUUCCCAAGGUAAGUAAUUUUCAGGUAGGAAUUACAACUUUGAUGUAAAGUAUUUGAAGUAAUGACCUUUCAAAUCCACAGCAUUCCCAAGGUAGGUAAUUUUCAGGUAGGAAUUACAACUUUCAUGUAAAGUAUUUGAAGUAAUGACCUUUUAAAUCCAUAGCAUUCCCAAGGUAAGUAAUUUGCAGGUAGGAAUUACAACUUUCAUGUAAAGUAUUUGAAGUAAUGACCUUUUAAAUCCAUAGCAUUCCCAAGGUAAGUAAUUUGCAGGUAGGAAUUACAACUUUCAUGUAAAGUAUUUGAAGUAAUGACCUUUUAAAUCCACAGCAUUCCCAAGGUAAGUAAUUUUCAGGUAGGAAUUACAACUUUGAUGUAAAGUAUUUGAAGUAAUGACCUUUCAAAUCCACAGCAUUCCCAAGGUAGGUAAUUUUCAGGUAGGAAUUACAACUUUCAUGUAAAGUAUUUGAAGUAAUGACCUUUUAAAUCCACAGCAUUCCCAAGGUAGGUAAUUUUCAGGUAGGAAUUCCAACUUUCAUGUAAAGUACUUGAAGUAAUGACCUUUUAAAUCCAUAGCAUUCCCAAGGUAGAUAAUUUGCAGGUAGGAAUUAGAACUUUCAUGUAAAGUAUUUGAAGUAAUGACCUUUUAAAUCCACAGCAUUCCCAAGGUAGGUUAUUUGCAGGUAGGAAUUGCAAUUUUCGUGUAAAGUAUUUGAAGUAAUGACCUUUUAAAUCCACAGCAUUCCCAAGGUAGGUAAUUUGCAGGUAGGAAUUCCAACUUUCAUGUAAAGUAUUUGAAGUAAUGACCUUUUAAAUCCACAGCAUUCCCAAGGUAGGUUAUUUGCAGGUAGGAAUUGCAAUUUUCAUGUAAAGUAUUUGAAGUAAUGACCUUUUAAAUCCACAGCAUUCCCAAGGUAGGUAAUUUGCAGGUAGGAAUUCCAACUUUCAUGUAAAGUAUUUGAAGUAAUGACCUUUUAAAUCUACAGCAUUCCCAAGGUAGGUUAUUUGCAGGUAGGAAUUGCAACUUUGAUGUAAAGUAUUUGAAGAAAGGACCUUUUAAAUCCACAGCAUUCCCAAGGAAGGUAAUUUGCAGGUAAGAAUUGCAACUUUCAUGUAAAGUAUUUGAAGUAAUGACCUUUUAAAUCCACAGCAUUCCCAAGGUAGGUAAUUUGCAGGUAGGAAUUGCAAUUUUCAUGUAAAGUAUUUGAAGUAAUGACCUUUUAAAUCCACAGCAUUCCCAAGGUAGGUAAUUUGCAGGUAGGAAUUGCAACUUUCAUGUAAAGUAUUUGAAGUAAUGACCUUUUAAAUCCACAGCAUUCCCAAGGAAGGUAAUUUGCAGGUAGGAAUUGCAAUUUUCAUGUAAAGUAUUUGAAGUAAUGACCUUUUAAAUCCACAGCAUUCCCAAGGAAGGUAAUUUGCAGGUAAGAAUUGCAACUUUCAUGUAAAGUAUUUGAAGUAAUGACCUUUUAAAUCCACAGCAUUCCCAAGGUAAGUAAUUUGCAGGUAGGAAUUGCAACUUUCAUGUAAAGUAUUUGAAGUAAUGACCUUUUAAAUCCACAGCAUUCCCAAGGAAGGUAAUUUGCAGGUAGGAAUUGCAACUUUCAUGUAAAGUAUUUGAAGUAAUGACCUUUUAAAUCCACAGCAUUCCCAAGGUAGGUAAUUUGCAGGUAGGAAUUGCAAUUUUCAUGUAAAGUAUUUGAAGUAAUGACCUUUUAAAUCCACAGCAUUCCCAAGGUAGGUAAUUUUGCAGGUAGGAAUUACAACUUUCAUGUAAAGUAUUUGAAGUAAUGACCUUUUAAAUCCACAGCAUUCCCAAGGUAGGUAAUCUUCAGGUAAGAAUUACAACUUUCAUGGUAGAUAUUUGAAGUAAUGACCUUUUUAAAUCCAUAGCAUUCCCAAGGUAGGUGAUCUGCAGGUAAGAACUUUAAGGUAAGAGAUUUUGAGGUAAUUAGCUCUUGGAUCUACAGCAGUCACAAUAUAGAAGAUCUUCAAGUAGGAUCUGCUCCAGGUAAGAGAUUUGAAUUACUCAAUUCUUGAACAUAAUGAUGAUUAUAAUGGUAACAAUGAUUUUUUUUGGAUCCAUCACAGGCUAGAUACCGCAUACGUGGCAAAGAAUGAUGCAGGGAUAGUUUCUUACUAUCGAAGACUGAAGGUGAAAAAGAGGAAAGAUGACGAAACUGACUUAGAAGAAAGAACUUCUCGGAACAAGAGAAGACUGUCUCCCAGAGUGUUGGAUCUCUCCUUGGCCUGGGGUCAUUUGAAGAGCUGGGCCAGCUUUUCUUGUAUGAGGAGAAGGGAAGAGAACUGAAACGACUGCCUGGGCUCCUUCUCUGAGCCUUAAGCCAAGAUGGAGUGAGUGGGUUGGAGGUCUGUGGUUCUUGCCGACAUGCCCGGGGUAGCACCGAUCGCCACUUUUGGGGUCAGGAAGGAAUUUUCCUCCAGGGCAGUUUGGCCUCGGACCCUGGAGGUUUUUCGCCUUCCUCUGGGCAUCCGGCAGCGGCCACUGGUUAGCAACUGAACUAAUCGGACCACUGUCAAAACUUGUCAAACUGAUCACAAAAAUAAAAAUCAGAACCAUAGAAAGAA